GAUGAACGCUGGCGGCGUGCCUAAUACAUGCAAGUCGAGCGAACGGACGAGAAGCUUGCUUCUCUGAUGUUAGCGGCGGACGGGUGAGUAACACGUGGAUAACCUACCUAUAAGACUGGGAUAACUUCGGGAAACCGGAGCUAAUACCGGAUAAUAUUUUGAACCGCAUGGUUCAAAAGUGAAAGACGGUCUUGCUGUCACUUAUAGAUGGAUCCGCGCUGCAUUAGCUAGUUGGUAAGGUAACGGCUUACCAAGGCAACGAUGCAUAGCCGACCUGAGAGGGUGAUCGGCCACACUGGAACUGAGACACGGUCCAGACUCCUACGGGAGGCAGCAGUAGGGAAUCUUCCGCAAUGGGCGAAAGCCUGACGGAGCAACGCCGCGUGAGUGAUGAAGGUCUUCGGAUCGUAAAACUCUGUUAUUAGGGAAGAACAUAUGUGUAAGUAACUAUGCACAUCUUGACGGUACCUAAUCAGAAAGCCACGGCUAACUACGUGCCAGCAGCCGCGGUAAUACGUAGGUGGCAAGCGUUAUCCGGAAUUAUUGGGCGUAAAGCGCGCGUAGGCGGUUUUUUAAGUCUGAUGUGAAAGCCCACGGCUCAACCGUGGAGGGUCAUUGGAAACUGGAAAACUUGAGUGCAGAAGAGGAAAGUGGAAUUCCAUGUGUAGCGGUGAAAUGCGCAGAGAUAUGGAGGAACACCAGUGGCGAAGGCGACUUUCUGGUCUGUAACUGACGCUGAUGUGCGAAAGCGUGGGGAUCAAACAGGAUUAGAUACCCUGGUAGUCCACGCCGUAAACGAUGAGUGCUAAGUGUUAGGGGGUUUCCGCCCCUUAGUGCUGCAGCUAACGCAUUAAGCACUCCGCCUGGGGAGUACGACCGCAAGGUCGAAACUCAAAGGAAUUGACGGGGACCCGCACAAGCGGUGGAGCAUGUGGUUUAAUUCGAAGCAACGCGAAGAACCUUACCAAAUCUUGACAUCCUUUGACAACUCUAGAGAUAGAGCCUUCCCCCUCGGGGGACAAAGUGACAGGUGGUGCAUGGUUGUCGUCAGCUCGUGUCGUGAGAUGUUGGGUUAAGUCCCGCAACGAGCGCAACCCUUAAGCUUAGUUGCCAUCAUUAAGUUGGGCACUCUAAGUUGACUGCCGGUGACAAACCGGAGGAAGGUGGGGAUGACGUCAAAUCAUCAUGCCCCUUAUGAUUUGGGCUACACACGUGCUACAAUGGACAAUACAAAGGGCAGCGAAACCGCGAGGUCAAGCAAAUCCCAUAAAGUUGUUCUCAGUUCGGAUUGUAGUCUGCAACUCGACUACAUGAAGCUGGAAUCGCUAGUAAUCGUAGAUCAGCAUGCUACGGUGAAUACGUUCCCGGGUCU
rnacentral:rRNA from 1 species